AUUGAACGCUGGCGGAAUGCUUUACACAUGCAAGUCGAACGGCAGCACGGACUUCGGUCUGGUGGCGAGUGGCGAACGGGUGAGUAAUGUAUCGGAACGUGCCCAGUCGUGGGGGAUAACGUAGUGAAAAUUACGCUAAUACCGCAUACGAUCUAUGGAUGAAAGCGGGGGAUCGCAAGACCUCGCGCGAUUGGAGCGGCCGAUAUCAGAUGUAGGUAGUUGGUGGGGUAAAGGACCACCAAGCCCACGAUCUGUAGCUGGUCUGAGAGGACGCCCAGCCACACUGGAGCUGAGACACGGUCCAGACUCCUACGGGAGGCAGCAGUGGGGAAUUUUGGACAAUGGGCGAAAGACUGAUCCAGCCAUUCCGCGUGCAGGAUGAAGACCCUCGGGUUGUAAACUGCUUUUGUACAGAACGAAAGGGUUUCUACUAAUACUAGGAGCUCAUGACGGUACUGUAAGAAUAAGCACCGGCUAACUACGUGCCAGCAGCCGCCGUAA
rnacentral:rRNA from 1 species